rnacentral:rRNA from 1 species
CAGUCGCCGCGGUAACACGUAGGUGGCAAGCGUUGUCCGGAAUUAUUGGGCGUAAAGGGCUCGCAGGCGGUUUCUUAAGUCUGAAGUUAAAGGCUGUGGCUCAACCAUAGUUCGCUUUGGAAACUGUCAAACUUGAGUGCAGAAGGGGAGAGUGGAAUUCCAUGUGUAGCGGUGAAAUGCGUAGAUAUAUGGAGGAACACCGGUGGCGAAAGCGGCUCUCUGGUCUGUAACUGACGCUGAGGCUCGAAAGCGUGGGGAGCGAACAGGAUUAGAUACCCGUGUAGUCCCUGUCUCUUAUACA